UACGUAGGGUGCAAGCGUUGUCCGGAAUUAUUGGGCGUAAAGAGCUCGUAGGCGGUUUGUCGCGUCGAAUGUGAAAACCCGGGGCUCAACCCCGGGCCUGCAUUCGAUACGGGCAGACUAGAGUUCGGUAGGGGAGUCUGGAAUUCCUGGUGUAGCGGUGAAAUGCGCAGAUAUCAGGAGGAACACCGGUGGCGAAGGCGGUUCUCUGGGAAUAUCCUGACGCUGAGGAGCGAAAGUGUGGGGAGCGAACAGG
rnacentral:rRNA from 1 species